CGAAAAUCUUCAAAACAGGAGAACCCUUCAUGGAAUCUCCAGCUUCUGCUUAAGCUAAGCAAAAGUUGUCGUUUUCGAAAUGCAAGGGUUUUUUUACAGUUGUCUUAUCUUUUUCAUUCUCGUCAUCCUCAGCUAAGCAAAAGUUGUUUUCGAAACGGCACCAAGCGUCAAGCAAUCAUGGAGCAGCGGCGGCGGGGGCCCUUCCUCAGCCCUCAGUCUAGUACCAGGUAGAGAAAGGAAACCUUAUCUCAAGAUUUCCGUGAAGUCGGGCAUACAAGGUUUGACUGUUUGGUACUAGUUUUUGUCCCGCAAAGAAUCAUUAGAUGUGACUCAGGGCUAACCUGGUAAACCCUCACUGUCUCAGUCUUCGCAGAGCUCCAUAAACGUUUCACUGUUAUCAUCAUCGACUUCCAUCUUUUUUGUUCUAAGAUGAUGGUCUCGGAGCUCUAAAAUUCGACUCUCCAGUCUCUCGCGAUCGAUAGAGGAGGGAAGACUGUUGGUAUUAGCGAUCCAAUCGACAUUGGACGAUACUCCGGAGUCGUUUUAGCAAGAAAUCAGAACUGAGCAAGAUGGAGUUGGAUCAUGAUGCUUCAGCAAGGAAUAGACCUCAUGCAGUGUGUGUUCCAUACCCAUCCCAGGGCCAUGUCACGCCCAUCAUGCACCUCGCCAAGCUCCUCCACUCCAGGGGCUUCCAUGUCACUGUUGUCAAUACCGAGCACAACCACCGGCGCUUGAUCCGGUCCCAUGGGCCGGACUCAGUGAAGGGCCUGCCCGAUUUCUGCUUCGAGGCCAUCCCUGAUGGGCUGCCGCCGUCCGACAGCGACGCCACCCAGGACGUCCCCUUGCUGUGCGACUCCGUCAGGAAGAACUGCCUCGGCCCGUUCCGGGAGCUCCUAGCAAGGUUGAACUCGUCUGAGGAUGUCCCUAGAGUGAGCUGCGUGGUCUCGGACGGCGUCAUGAGCUUUGCCAUUGACGUAGCCCAGGAAAUAGGAGUUCCUGAGGUUCAGUUAUGGACUGCCUCCGCUUGCAGCUUCAUGGCGUAUCUGCACUAUAGAGAGCUUGUCAGAAGAGGGAUAUUUCCAUUCAAAAAUGAGAACUUCCUCAGCGAUGGCACACUGGACAUGCCUAUAGAUUGGAUACCCGGCAUGAGAAACAUCCGGCUUAGAGACAUCCCCAGCCACAUCAGGACGACCAACCCCAAAAGCAUCAUGUUCGAUUUCAUGGGAGAAGAAGCUCAGAACUGCCUCAAAUCCCCGGUGAUUGCUUUCAACACAUUUGACACCUUUGAGCAUGAGGUCCUUGAUGCAAUCACCGUCAAGUUCCCUUCCAUAUACACCAUCGGCCCGCUUCCCUUGAUGGCGACUGCCAAUGAAGGAGUCAGAAUCCGAAUCAAUAAAGUCAAGCCUGUGGAAGGAGGACACGGAAUGCCUGCGAUGGCUGGACGGAAAAGAACCCAAUUCGGUGGUAUACGUGAACUACGGGAGCGUGACAGUGAUGUCGGGGAAGCACUUGGAGGAGUUCGCUUGGGGGCUUGCAAACAGCAACCAUCCAUUUCUCUGGAUCGUCCGGCCCGACAUUGUGAAGGGCGAGUCAGCAGCCCUGCCACGGGAGUUCCUCGACGGGAUCAGAGGCCGAGGAAUGCUGGCAAGCUGGUGCCCACAAGAAGAGGUGCUGAAUCACCCAUCAGUAGGUGCGUUCUUGACGCACUGUGGGUGGAAUUCAAUGCUGGAGAGCGUGAGCGCAGGAGUGCCCGUGAUAUGCUGGCCAUUCUUUGCGGAUCAGCAGACAAACUGCAGGUACGCCUGCACGGAGUGGGGGAUUGGAGUGGAGGUGGAUGAGGACGUGAGGAGGGAGGAGAUUGAAGGACUGGUGAGGCAGGUGAUGGAAGGUGAGGAAGGGAGGAGGAUGAGGGAGAGAGCUCAGUACUGGAAGAGAGAAGCUGAAGCUGCAGCUUCCCCUGGCGGGUCAUCACAUGGCAACUUUGAGAGGUUUCUUGAGGAAGCUCUUGCGUUCAAGAAAGGAGAUUGUGCUUGAGCAAAGAUCAUCUUGGAUUGUUGAGUUUUGACUUUUUUGUAGUACAGCUUAUGUUUAAGCUCCCUUCUGUAGUUGACCAAUCUGCCUCUUGUCAGUUUCCAUUCUUUUGAAGUUGGAGAUGUGUCGAAUGUAUGAUUGAUGAUAUUACAAAUGUAAUGUUACAAUUUAUAAUGGGGAGUAGUUAAAAAUAUUAAGAUCA